GCGCCCUAGGUCUAACUCAUAUUGUUAUUAGAAAAAUAUAGGGUGUAACAUAAAAUAAUCCCAGAAAAAUAAUUAAAAUGGCCUUAUUACAACCCAAAACCAAAUAAUAAUAAGAUAAAACUUAUAAAGAAAUAAAUCGUCUACUUAUUGCAAUUUAAAGAACCAGAAAUAGUAGUGUGGCCAUCUCCGAGUCCCUCGCAGCUCCAAACCAUCUAAGCUUAGGGAUUACCUGCACAGUUAGAAAUGGGGUGAGUUUAUAAAAACUCAGCGUGUAAUCCCAAUAACAAACAAACAGUGAAAACAUAGUGUCAGUACAAUCUGGGCCAAAGCCCUAUUUAGUCUUGGCAUAUACUGGGCUGAAGCCUUUCGUUUAACGGUUACUAGGCCGAAGCCUUUUCAUAAAUCAUAUCACUGGGCCGAAGCCUUAUCAUAAAUCAUAUCACUGGGCCGAAGCCUUAUCAUAAAUCAUAUCCCUGGGCCGAAGCCUUUAUUGUAAACGUAUGGCCCUUAGGCCCAUUUCAAUAUCACAUAUAAUGUUAAUGGAUGUAUGCAAGCCCAUUUGGGGAGACUACUCGACCCACCAUCCGCUACUCUCCACCCGUACAAACCAACACACCAUGUGGGGAAUAACUCAACCCACCAAACCAACACACCACUGGCAGCAUAGCUGCUUUAUCAUAUAUCUGGAGGCCUAGCCUCUUUAAUAACUGGGGCAAAGCCCUUUUCGGUAAACUGGGGCAAAGCCCUUUUCAAUAAACUGGGGCAUAAGCCCUUUUGCACUUCCUCCAUCCAUAUAAAAACCCAACCCAAUGCAACAUGUCAUGUAUGCAGAAUGUCAUGCCCAUAUUUGAGUAAACAACCACAGUCAAGUCAUUCAUAUCACCAACAUAUAUUCACAAUCAAUCCAUUAACCAUACAGUCCAAGUCAGUCACUUGCCCACAAUGGCAAAAUAGUCAUUUUUCACAUUAUAAGGGUAUUUUUGUAAUUUUACCAAAUAUUAGGGUUUUCCAUGUUCAUUACAAUUAUCAAUAUUUUCGAGUGUUUAAACAAUGAUCUUUAACCCACUUUAUCAAAUUCGGGCUUUUGGGCCCAAAACCCCUAAUGGGCCCUACGAAUGCUGAUUUAGCAUCCUUAACCCAAAUUUUACAAAAAUACUAACUGUGUUAACCUGCAACUUUUCCAAAUUCCAUUUUCUAUCAAUUCUACCCAAAUGGGUCCAAAAGCCCAUUGGGCCCAAUUUUAGCCCAUUUAGGCCCAACUUACCAUCGUGCACAAAAUUGAGUUCUUACCUGUUCCAUCGAUCCAAACACCGAUCUGAUCGUAUUUAUCACAUCUAUACCGAAACGCAACAUUACAAGUUCCCAAAAUACCGGUAUUUUAGCAUUUCGGCUUCUCAGCAAAUAUUAAUCUAUGCUAUUACGAGGGUUAGUACACACCUGUUAUGGGUUGAAGUUGAAACGUUUCCAAAAUCAAUCGCCUACGAUAACCACCACCUGUCACUCAAACAUAACUAAUCCAAUAUCAAUAUAUGUAAAUCCUAAGCACAUCAGUCAUACGGAACAUAAGGGCAUAUUCGUCAUUUUACCAUACAAGGGUAUUACAGUUUUUUACCUAAUAGGGGUAUUUUAGUCAUUCCACCCUACAAGGGUGUUUUGGUAAAUCUACAAACCAAGGGUAUUUCAGUAAUUUUGUAAACCAAUGGUAUUUCUAUAAUUUUUAGAAAGUCAAGGGUAUUUCUAUAAUUUUGUAAAUUAGGGGUAUUUUGGUAAUUUUAGAAAUUAAGGGUAUUUCGAUAAUUUCACAAACCAGUGUUAUUUUGGUAACUUUACAAACUAGGGGUAUUUUGGUAAUUUUACAAACCAGGGGUAUUUUAGCAAUUUUACAGACCAGUGUAUUUUGGUAAUUUUACUAAUCGAGGGUAUUUUGGUAAUUUUGUAAACCAAGGGUAUUUUACUAAUUUUGUAAAUCGAGGGUAAAAUAGUAAUUCUGUAAAUCAAGGGUAAAGUAGUAAUUCUAUAAAUCGAGGGUAAAACGAUAAUUCUGUAAAUCAAGGGUAAAAUAGUAAUUCUAUAAAUCGAGGGUAAAACAGUAAUUCUGUAAAUCGGGGGUACUUUGGUAAUUUUAUAAGUCGAGAGUAUUUCAAUAAUUGGUAAACCAAAAUAUUCUAAACAUGGAUAACAAUACUAAUGGCCCUAAAGCCCAUUCUCGGCCCAAAUGGGCCCACACGCUCGUGUGGCCCUUUUAGCCCAAAUCUAGCCACAAAUAUUAGAUUCACCUAGCCUAGCCCAAUAUUUACUACACAAUCAAACAACUUAUCCAAUUGGGCUCGUAGGCCCAUUAGGCCCACAUGACCCCUUUCGGCCCAUCGCGGCCCGAAGUAGCUAUCCUACAGCUAGAGUAGUAAGAAAUACACACCUGAUAGGAGACUGGAGUUAAUCUACGCUCCGAGCACUCUUAGCCGACGCCCAACCCAAACGAGCACGCCAUACAGCGAAAGGGAUCAG
rnacentral:lncRNA from 1 species